rnacentral:sRNA from 1 species
AUGUGUUGUGUAUCCUCCUGCUUUACCUUCUACCGUGAGUCAAAGCCCCCUGAGGCUUCCCCAGAAGCAGAUGCUGGAGCUAUGUUUCCUGUACAGCCUGCAGAACUGCAGAUGGAGUUAUUGCCAUGGUGUUAGGACAAGCUGAUUGUGUUAAAGCAUGUGACACACCUAAUUUCAGAAACCAGAGGGGAAAUCGCCGCUCAUUAAAGUUCAAGGAACAUAUCCUGGAGGCUUAGUGAAACCAGCUCUCUCUUCCCAUCAAAUGAGAAGGCUCUGUGUCUUCAAAUGAAAGCCAAGAAAGCACACCCCAGAGUCGAAUACAACAAAACAUCAGGCAAUGCCUUUGAAGAGCAAUUUUCUUUGCCAACCAAGGUUCGGGGAUCGCCUCUAGCUUCCCAGGACAACCAGCCACGGAUCCUGUGGGCAGGAGGGCUGCCAAGGCCCAGUUGGAGGCUCAAUUUAUGGCGGCCCAGGGGAAGAAGCAUGCAGGUAAAUACAGACCAAGGGGACCCGGAAGAAGGUGCACGCCCAAGAGGACGGUCUGUCUGCUUUCUGCGCUGGGGGCACAGGGGCAGCCCGAGGCCCCAGGCCCCUUCGUGGCUCUGGAGUCCAUUGUGUACGUGCUAAGAUGCGCCAGGUUUUCAAAGCAGGCUCAAGGGCCUUAGGCUUCCCGUGGGAGGCUCCCCCUCAUAGCAGGGUUACAGAUGCUCUCAGAGCAGCUCUUCUCCAUGGGUGCAGUCCUGACAUCCAAGGGGUCUGAACUGUAGUACGUUGUUUACUGGAACCUGAACCCGAAGGGCUUCCAAAAGUCCCUCGAUAAAAUGGUCAGGAACCGGUGAUUCCAUGUAUAGCUCUGCUUUAAAGCUUUAAUUGGCAGAGAGCCCCCCCCCAAAAAAAAGUCUACAACUAGUACAUUUCUCCACAAAAAAUGUCCACAGCAGCAUCUUCCUCUAAAAAAGGUUUGUCUUUUACAUUUUAAUGCAGGAAAGGAUCCAGUCCGUGAUGAAUGUGAGGAAAGAAACCGUUUUACAGAAACAAGGGAGGAAGAUGUAACUGAUGAGCAUGGGGAAAGAGAACCUUUUGCUGAAACAGAUGAACACAGGGGGGCUAAUACCAAGAAGCCAGAAGAUACUGCAGGUAUGUUUUAGGAGUUAUCUGUAGUUUAUGAAUUGUUUUCAGUCAUACAACUGUUGCAGUAGGUUAUAUGAAUUAGUGGACGACAAGACUGUCUUAAAUGGCUUCUCAUAUGUAGCAUUUAACAUACGUAUUUAAUGUAAUCUAUUUGAUAAAUUUUUCUUACCUUUUUGAUUGUUGAUGUGGAAUGUGAGAAUGCUUCUAAUAAUGGUGAAGCGAGAUGGAUGGCUUUUCUUUCAUACAUGUGGAAAUAUAAUUGUUUGGAGGAUAUUAGAGGACAUUGGAGGAGAAACAGCUCUAUUCGUUCCUUUUAGUAUACACAGAUUAAGUCAUAUAUCAAUGGUUUUUUUUUAGCUUUUACUUUAAGUUUGGGGGUACAUGUCCAGGUUUGUUAUAUAGAUAAAUUGCAUGUCACAGGGUUUGGUAUACAGAUUAUUUUGUCACCCAGUUUAUAAGCAUAGUACCUGAUGGGUGGUUUUCGAUCCUCACCCUCCUCCUACCCUCCACCCUCAAGUAGGCCCAGUUGUCUGUUGUUCCUCUCUUCCUGUCCGUCUGUACUCAGAGUUUUUAAUAUGAGUUUUUCAUGUUCCUAAUUUAGCUGUUCUAUUGUCACAGCUUUCUGAUUUUGUUUUCUUUAAAGUACAAGAGAAAAUUGAAUUUUCUAAAAUCAUUUUCUAUUAUUAUUCCAGUAAUAAACUGUGUAGUAGAAAAGUAAGGACAACUUUUCUACCUAGUGAGAAACAUGUAAUUGGAUCCAAAAACUCAUAAACUUUAUAUUGCUGUGUGAAAUAUUAGUUACACUGUUAUAGGACCAUAUUUUCAAAAAAGUUUGAGAAAAUUUCUGUAGAGAUGAUGGAGACAAUACUCUUAUUUUUAAAAAGCUCAAUUCAGUUUUCAGCUCUUCUCUAGCGAUGAUUCAUACAAGCAGUAUAUUUGGAAAGCUUGGUGACAAAGUGCUGGUUUUGUGAGCUGCCUAAUACAUUGGGCGUUAUAGAUGGAGACUGUAUGUAAAAAAUAUUUGCAUUGCGGUACAAAUCUUUUAUGAUUGCUGAAAAUUAUUCUUAGCAAUUGAUGGUAGAGCUCUGAUGUGAAAUCAUGUUUAGGAAAGCAUUCCUUGCAGUAUUACAGUUUUCUGAAACACAGCACUAUGGGUACAAAUGUCAUAUAAAAAGCUCCAAGAAAACAUUUCAAAAGUGUUUUUGAAUGUAUUUCUUUACCUAAACCUAAAAUUUUAUACUCAUGGCCAUUGCUUCUUUUAUUAAAAUACAAUUAAUAGCAUCAAUCACUAGAUUGCUUAAAAAUGUUUUUCUUAUUGUGCAUUAAGUUAUUUCUACCCUUUUGAGGGUUUUAUUAUAUAAGAUACUUUUUUGUGUGCUUUACAUAAUGAAUUGUGCAGUAUUUCAUGGAAGCAUCUCCUUUGAAUUGUAGGACAUUUUAUAAAUGUAGAAAUUAAAGUCUGUGCUUAUAACUCUUUCUGCACAUUUAAAAAAUAGAGACUUUUAAUUAUUUGCUUUUUUUCAUCAUCUGUCAAUUAAGUGAUUUUCAGUUAUACCAACUGGAAUUGAAAUGCGAAUGUUAAUACCUGAAAGGUUUUACAGAAAAUAAGUGAGUAAAUCUUGCUUUUUGAAAUGAUCUUUGAAUUUUAUAUUUUAAAUAUCCUUCUGAAAUUGCUGAACCAUAAAGUCCCAUAUUGAUGUCAGUAUAUGCAAAGAAACUACUUUUCAACAUUAACUUUUAAUCCAUUUUCAUUUACUAUCUAACUGACAUUAAAGAGGAUCUUACUGCAAAAAGAAAAAGGAUGAAAAUGGAUAAAGCUUGCAGCAAAAUAAAGAACAAAAGUAAACAUGCUUUGAGAAAAAAAGAACUUAAAAGGCAGAACGUGAUUAUAUACAUUCUCUGAAGUUGCUAAAUGUCCUUGAAGAAUACAUCAGAGACGAGCAGAAAGAGGAAGAAGAAGAAGAGGGAGAAGAGGAAGAACUAAUUAGAAUAUUUCAAGAACAACAGAAGAGGUGGCAACAAUAUAGAAGUGUUAGGAGAGAGAGGCUGAAAGAGAUGAAGCUGCUACGUGACCAAUUCGUAAAGGCUCUUGAGGACUUUGAAGACCUUUGUGACAGAGUUUUUUCCGAUGAAGACAGUGAACUUGAUAACUAGACAUGUUUUUAAAUAAAAUCAUGUCAGAACUCUUUUGGAAAAGUUGGCACUUACCCAGUUGUCUCUUCAACCUCUGUUAUUCUGAUGACUGAAGAAAGAACUUGAACCUAUGUUAUAUGAUACAAGCACAACUUGAGCUACAGUAAACUACAUGACAGUGUUUUGAUAAUUCUUGUAUAAAUUCAUAUAGCUCCUCUGUCAUUUGUCUGUUAAAUGCCAGACCUCGUUUCUAUGAUCUGUUGAAUGAAUCCUAGACACUUCUGUGAGAAAGCAGGGAUUGCAUAGUUAUGUACACGUCAACUA